CACAGAAAAUUUACUUUUUCCUAGUAAUGUUUCAACAAACACUAAUCAAAUCUCAUACAAAAUCAUAUUUUCAGUUCACUUUUAUAACUCUCUAGUGUUGUUCUGUCUUUCAAUAAGAGAUAAUUGGAAAAGGCACUAUGCAUUUUACAAAUGUUUCCCUCGGAUUUCUGAAAAGGGUCAUGCCUAA
rnacentral:lncRNA from 1 species